rnacentral:misc_RNA from 1 species
GAUGAAGAACGUAGCGAAAUGCGAUAAGUAAUGUGAAUUGCAGAAUUCAGUGAAUCAUCGAAUCUUUGAACGCACAUUGCGCCCGUCAGUAUUCUGGCGGGCAUGCCUGUUCGAGCGUCAUUACGCCCCUCAAGUCCCCUGUGGACUUGGUGUUGGGGAUCGGCGAGGCUGGUUUUCCAGCACAGCCGUCCCUUAAAUUAAUUGGCGGUCUCGCCGUGGCCCUCCUCUGCGCAGUAGUAAAACACUCGCAACAGGAGCCCGGCGCGGUCCACUGCCGUAAAACCCCCCAACUUUUUAUAGUUGACCUCGAAUCAGGUAGGACUACCCGCUGAACUUAAGCAUAUAAAUAAGCGGAGGA